UACGGAGGGGGCUAGCGUUGUUCGGAAUUACUGGGCGUAAAGCGCACGUAGGCGGCUUUGUAAGUUAGAGGUGAAAGCCCGGAGCUCAACUCCGGAAUUGCCUUUAAGACUGCAUCGCUAGAAUUGUGGAGAGGUGAGUGGAAUUCCGAGUGUAGAGGUGAAAUUCGUAGAUAUUCGGAAGAACACCAGUGGCGAAGGCGGCUCACUGGACUGGUAUUGACGCUGAGGUGCGAAAGCGUGGGGAGCAAACAGG
rnacentral:rRNA from 1 species